rnacentral:rRNA from 1 species
GUGGGGAGCAAACAGGAUUAGAUACCCUGGUAGUCCACGCCCUAAACGAUGAAUGUUAGUCGUCGGGUAGCUAGUCNAUUCGGUGAUGCAGCUAACGCAUUAAACAUUCCGCCUGGGGAGUACGGUCGCAAGAUUAAAACUCAAAGGAAUAGACGGGGACCCGCACAAGUGGUGGAGCAUGUGGUUUAAUUCGAAGAUACGCGAAGAACCUUACCUAGCCUGGACAUAUUUUAGAACACUUUAGAGAUAGAGUGGUGCCUUCGGGAGCUAAUAUACAGGUGCUGCACGGCUGUCGUCAGCUCGUGUCGUGAGAUGUUGGGUUAAGUCCCGCAACGAGCGCAACCCUCGUCACUAGUUACUAACGGUUCGGCCGAGGACUCUAGUGAGACUGCCUUCGUAAGGAGGAGGAAGGUGAGGACGACGUCAAGUCAUCAUGGCCCUUACGGCUAGGGCAACACACGUGCUACAAUGGCCAGGACAAUGAGAAGCGAUACCGCGAGGUGGAGCAAAUCUAUAAACCUGGUCUCAGUUCGGAUUGUAGUCUGCAACUCGACUACAUGAAGCUGGAAUCACUAGUAAUCGUAGAUCAGCUAUGCUACGGUGAAUACGUUCCCGGGUCUUGUACUCACCGCCCGUCACACCAUGGGAGUUGAUUUCACCCGAAGCGGGGAAGCUAAACUGGCUACCCUCCACGGUGGAAUCAGCGACUGGGGUGAAGUCGUAACAAGGUAACCGUA